rnacentral:rRNA from 1 species
UAGUCCACGCCGUAAACGAUGAGUGCUAGACGUCGGGUGUCAAAGCCCGGUGUCGCCGGUAACCCAGUAAGCACUCCGCCUGGGGAGUACGUACGCAAGUAUGAAACUCAAAGGAAUUGACGGGGACCCACACAAGUAGCGGAGUAUGUGGUUUAAUUCGAAGCUACGCGAAGAACCUUACCAGGGCUUGACAUAACAGACUAUAACUCUAGAGAUAGGGAAGUCUCCUUCGGGAGGUCUGCUAC